AAAAAAAAGGUGAAGAGGGGCGGUGGUUGGUUCGGUGAGAUGGUGAAGAAGCAGCGGCGGUGGCAACUCCGCCAGCUGCUGCUGUCAUUGGCUAUUGUUAUUGGUCCAAUAGUGAGGGGAUCACCAGCAUAGGCUGGUCGCUGGUUCUCCGACGAUGAUGGUGUGGUCUCCGAUGAGGUGAACUCACCAUAAUUCGGCCUUUGCUCACUGGAGAAAGAAAAAAAAGUUGAUUUUUUGUGGGUUUAGAGAGAAAGAGGGUAUUUAGAGAGAUGAAAAAAAAAAGUGGAGUGUCAGUUAUGCGUGUGUUUGUGUGGGUAUAGUAUAUGUAAUUGUGUGGUGUGCAAUGUGUGGUAUUUAAAAAAAAGUAAAAAUAAUAAAAAACGUAAUAUUUAUCUCUCUUUUUCUUUCAACAUAUCCCUUAAAUUAGGGAAAGUAGAUAAAAUAAAGUCAAAAAAUUUUAAAAGUGAGUAGACGUUGAUUUGACUGAUUUAUUACUUUGUGUAUUAAAAUAAUUAAAUCGACUUACUUUUGCAGGUCGUAUUAAAUAACGUACAAAAUAAUGAAUGCCGAUAUAUAAUUAUUGAAAAAUAUAAAUAAAAAAAUAAAAAAUAUAAUUAUCUUCAAAAAAUAUACAUUAUGCUAUAAAUAAUUAAAAUUAUACUGUGCUGUAAAAAAUUAUAGUGCUAUGUUGUGUACGUAUGUAAAUGAUUGUGCAAAAAUAUUAAAAUAAUAAUAAAUUGAUAAAAAUUCUAAAAUUUAUGAAAUUGAAAAUAAUUAUCAAUAAAUCAUGUAUAAUUAAAAUAUGACAAUAAAUGAGUAAAAAUUGUAAAAUAAUGAUGAUUAUAAACAAUUUAUCAACAAUUGUAAAAGAUAUGUGAAAAAUUACAUUUUGUGCCCUUUAAUGAUCAGAAAGCCUAAAAACGUUAAUUUUAGGCACAGAGAGCCAAAAUUGGGUGUCAACAGUUUGCCCUUUUUGUUUGAAGAUGACGUAGAAGUCUUCAUACGAAAACAUUGACGUGUAGCCAAUUUUGCUGGACAAAAAAUUAUUUUUGCUAAAAAUUCGACCAAACUCUAGUUUGGAGUUGCCUAUAUACCUCGAGAUGUAUGAGGAUCAGGUCGGGUGUAGUUAAAAAGAAUUAGGCAAAUUUCCCUGUUGUUAAUGGUAAAUGACCGUGUGAAAUAAUUAAGAAAAUAUGAACUAUUUGGGAACAGAAGUGUUCAUCUAUUCCCGAUGUUUCUUUCAAAAUUGCCCCAGUAUCGAGCUGUGAGAUGUUGGGAAUGAAAGAUUGUGUACUUGCUGGGGAGAAAGAAUAAUUGUGGAGCUAUGGCGAUCGAACUCCGCAUAGAUCUUCCUACAUAUCUUGAGUGUUACGAGAAUCAAGUUAAUAUAGUUCGAAAUGAGAAAAUAGGCUAAAUUUGAGGCGGUUCUUAACAUUUACCCAAGUGUAGGAUUCAUGGCUAACACUGUCUUCUAGGAAAGAAAAGAAAUGUCUUGUUGUGGAUUGUAUUUCCUACUGAAAAUAUGUAUGACGUCUUCGAUUGUCUACGGGGACUUGAAGAUGAAUGACGUCUCCGAUUGUCUACAGAGACUUAAGAAUGAAAGAUAUUUCUAAUUGACUACGGACUAUGUGAUGAAUGAAAAUUGUCUUCGAUUGUCUACGAAGACUACGUAGUGAAUAAAAAAUAUCUAUGAUUGUAUACGAAGACUUGAUGACAUCUUCAAUUGUCUAUGGAGACGGAUGUUGAUUAUCGUAUUCAAUUAUCUACAAAGACUGAUGUUGAAUGAUGAUGGCUUCGAUUGUAUACGAAGACAUGAUGACAUCUCCAAUUGUAUAUGGGGAUGGAUGUAUGAUAUCCCCAAUUGUCUAUGGAGACUGAAGUUAAUUGUCGUCUUCAAUUGUCUAUGAAAACUGACGGAUGAUUGUCGCCUCUGAUUGUCUACGAAAACUCAAUACAUGACACCGCCAACUGUCUAUGGAGGCUGAUGUUGAUUGUUGUCUCCGAUUGUCUACGGAGACUAAUGUGAAUGACACCUCCAAUUAUCUAUGAAGACUGAUUUGACGUUUUAGAUUGUUUACUAAGACAGAUGCAUGACACCUCUAAUUGUCUAUCGAGGUUGAUAUUGAUUGUUAUAUCUGACUGUCUAUGGAGAUUGAUGCGACGUCUUCAAUUAUUUACGAAGACAAAUGCAUAACACCUUCAAUUGUCUAUGGAGGGUGGUGUGGAUUGUCGUCUAAUGUUGUAUGAUGGUAUCUUCGAUUGUAUACGAUGACUUGAUGACAUCUCUAAUUAUCUAUGGAGACUAAUGUUGAUUUUCGUCUUCGAUUGUAUACGAAGACUAUGUUCAUUGUCAUCUUUAAUUGUCUAUGAAUACUGACGGAUGACAUCUCCAAUUGUCUAUAGAGAUUGAUGCUGGUGGUCGUCCUCAAUUGUUUAUGAGGACUAGGAUCAUCAACUGGCGAGGUGAUUGAAUUCUAAUGGCCUCUCUUUUGGUGGAAUAACUAGAGGGAAUAGCCUCUCGAAUGACGGAGCGAUUGAAAGGUAGUAGCCUCUCGACUGGCCGGGCUAUGAAAAUGUAAAAGUCCUUUGAGAACAGCUGAUAGAAGAGCAAAAUGUCUGUCUUUAAAGGCGAUAACUUUAAAAAAAAUGGUCAAUUAUCUGUAUUUGAAGGUGGGUGUUUUGUAUGUGAAGUGUAAUGUAUGUAUGUGAAGGCAUGUGUUUGAAAGGAAAGGAAAUUAUUUUGUAUUUUUGUUGAAAAAAAUGUGUUGAAAGGUAAAAAAUGCAGAAGAUUGCUUUGUAUUUUCUUAUAGUUUCAUAUGGUACCUCAGACAUACCUAAGUAUCGACAAAAUUUGUUUAACUUGCUCCAAACUGAGAUUUUGCGCUAUGCUUAUUCUCAUGUUUCAAGUGCCCUCUCCAAAAAGAAAGUCUCAUUUAGCACAUAUUUGAGUAAAAUAAAGUCCAAUUUCGAACAUAUUUAAGUAAUUUUUCUUUUUGAAUUUAGGAACAUCUAGCGAAAUACGCUCACAUUCAGAAAAAAAUUCAAUACAUGCAAUUGUUAUACCAUAGGCUUGACCUUCAUGUAGGUAUCCACUAAUGUGAGAACACUUGAAAUAAGAUCUUGUAGUACUUGGUAUCGACUUGUAAUGCAGGCUCGGGGAUGGGUAGGAUAAUAUUUUGGAUAAAAAUGACUAAUUCCUCAAUGAGCAUGGCACUGCAUUUGUGCUUUCAACAUUUGUUGUUCUUUGAUGUGUGAUCUUCUUUGUUGUGAUUUGUUGCCCCUUGUUUUAUAUUUGCUUUGAUUUCUUUUGAAUUUUCUGCUGGAGUUUUCUCCUUUUUUUUUUUCAACAAACUAUAUAUUUUUUUUAGUUUUUUUUCCUUUUCUCUUUUUUUUUUUUGUGGGGUUUUUGCUCCUUUGAAGUCAUUUUUUAAUUUUAUUCAUCUGGGACAAUAUAUUUUUUGCAUUUUGUGUCUUUGAUCUUGAAUCUUCAUUCGCAAUUUGUACAUAUUUAGUGCGCUCAAGGAGGUCGGGGCCAAUAGAGAAUAGUGCAUGUAAGCACUAAAAAAGGUAUAAGCUCAGAUGGGGUUGUCCAAAGAAAAGGUUUUAAACUCAAACAGGGAAUGCUAGGGAUUAAUGUCAUUUGGUGGGCUAUGAAAGGCACAAUCGGGUCAAAAAAGGCCUAAGGUUCUUUCGUAAAUUAAGUAUAACUCAGAAUUCCGCUUCAACAAACAUCUAGACCAAGUUCUAGAUCAACAAAUGCAAUGCAAUUAAUUAAACUAAAGCUCGCCACACAAUGCACUUGAAACGACAAGGUUGGCUUCGUUUUUGUCUUAGAUGUAUGCAAGAGAAUUUUUUUCAAACAUUACUCAGGUGUGAUAAAAGGUACCAAAAGGAACUAUGGUUUACCAUGAAAUUAGUCCUUUUUAUCAUACCAAUUUGCUCUUUCCUAUGCACACUCCUAAAUGUAUUGAGUACCAAUCAAGUCAAUUUUAUUUUUUAUUUAAAAAAAAAGAAUGGGACCGAAUUCAAAUAAGAGUUGCCUAUGUAUCUUGUAAAAACAAGAAUCAGGUCUGCGUAGUUCAGACAAAUUUAUGAAUUUGUAUGUGCAAUGUAUAAUUAAAAAAGUAGAGAUAAACUUUGAAAAUAAUAUGAAGACAAUCAGGAAAAAAUUGCUUUUAGUGUCGAAAAUCAUUUCAAUCACAUGAUCGAGAGGACGGAUGUCAAGAAUGGAGAGAGCUUUGACACAACUUCAGUAUGCUGACAAGAUUGAAAAAGUCAGAUAUUGAAGAAAUUAUGACAUUAUUUCACCGCAGUUGACAAGAUUAUUAUAACUGAAAAAAUAUUGAACCCUUGCUUUUGAAAGUGAGAAUUGAGACGCCAUAAAUUUAAUGUUAAAAGAAAAAGCUAGGUAUUCUUGUACAAAAAUCAGGUGAGUAUCUGAAAGUAGGUUGGCUAGGCACUAAUGUAAUUAAGGUUUGGAUUUGGGAGUUAUUAAUUGUGCUUUUGAAGAAUCUAGAGAGCAUUUUGAAUUGUUUCAGAAUAUUGCCUCAGUUUUGAAUACCGGAGAAAUUAUACUAAAAUAGUGAAGAGACCGAACCCUAAUGCGAGGUUGCCUACGUAUCUUACAGGACAAGAAUCAGGUCAAAACGUAGUUCAAACCUGAGUUUGUACAUAGCGUGAUUUAUUUCUAGAAUAGGAACUUUCCUAAAUGAUUAAGAGGAGGAUUGAAUGAUUGCGAGAAGGCGCACAAAUCUAAAUGCACCGACUCUGAAACUAUGGAAUUCAAAGAAGGUUUGAGAAGUGUAAGACACACCCGCGUGAACCACAGUGUGUGAAGUGUACGAUCAAAGACUCGUUGAAAUUGUGAUUUAUGAUCAAAUGAAGUAAAGAAUAAUGUGUAACAGUUUUUACAAUAUACAGAUACAGUGUAUUAAACAAAUAAUGAAUAAAAGAAUCGAUAAGACGACAAAUUUAAUCCGCGCAAAUAUCAUAUAGAAUUUAUGAAAAAUUCUACACAAUUUGCAAUGUGAAACAAAUAAAGAAACAAAGAAUUAAUAUACACAAAAAUGUAAAAAUACCUCCCUUAAUUGAAAAAUUGAGUCUAUCAUGGUUAGAACCUGUUAAUAUCCCCAGCAGAGUCGUCAUUUUGUCAUGCCCUAUUUUUGCCAAGGUUAAACAAGCACGACUUACGGACUAUAAAUGAAUUGAUUUUAUUACAGAGUCGCCACCUACUUUUUAGAGAAAAUAAGAAAACCUAUUGAAUUAUUAACAUGUGCGAUUUUAUGUUUCAGUCUGCAAAAAUCAAUUGAGAUUCUAGGUAAGGGUUUAAAUUAUCCCGAAGAAAAAGGGUUAGGCACUCUUCAGGAUCUACAAAUGCGGUACUCGGCUAAACUAAAUUUAUCAAAAAGAGAGGAGGUAUAUUUAAAAUAAUGUAAAAAUAUAUGUAUUAAAUAUAAAAUAAUUCUUUUUCAAAAUAAAAAUAUUUUUAAACUAUGUAAAGGUAUAUGUAUAUUAGAUAUAUGAAUAGAAUAAAUUGUUAUAAAAUAUGAAAAGGACAUGUAUAAAAAUGUAUAAAUAAAUAUGAAAAGGAAAAGUAGUUUAUAAUGUAUGAAAAAAAAAUGUAUUUUGAUGUGCCAUGAAAAGAAAAAAUAUUUACUAGUAAUAUUUUUUAUCUGAAUAAAAUUAUGGAGACAAGUAAAACUUAUUUGAUCAGAAAAGACUAUAUAAUAUAUGAAUUACUUGAUUAACUUGAUUCUUUUAUGUAAGUCCAUCAAAAUAAUAUAUAUGUUUUGUCAUAAAAAAUAUAAACAAAAGUAUAUUAGUAUAUGUAUGUAAAGAAAAGAUACGAUUAAGUAAAGAAAAAUUAUUCCAAAGAAAAAGCCUACGUAAUAUUUUUUAAUGUAAAAAGUAUAAAUUAUUUAAUUAAAUAAUCUAAGUCAAUCUAACAUUUUUAUAUAAAUAUUAAUGAUCUAAAUUUGCCUAAACGCGUGGUGAAAAUUAAAUAAAGAAUAUCCUGCCCAACACUCAAAAAAUAAAGUUUUCACUAUGAUUAAUAUUUGUAGAAGUGAAAGAAUAUAAAAGUAUAAACACUCAAUUUAAAGUCUUCUUUAAAUGUCAUUCCGACAAAUAUUCCCAAUAAUCCGUAUAAAUACUUGUAAUAAAAAUGUCAGUGACAAAUAAAUAAUAAUCAAAAUAAAGUUAAAAAUAUGUAUGCAUAUACAUAUUUAAAAAUAUAUUUAUUGUUAGUUAGUGGGCUCUUUUGAAAUAUUUUAAAGAUUUCGUCAUCGCCCAAAAAUAUUUAUUUUUGUUACGUAUUUGUAUACGAAAAAUUCAUCCUUUUAUUUGUGAAGGCCUCAAAAUUGACGAAUAAUUUCUUCAUUGACCAAAUAUCUAUUUUUUAUAAAAAAAUAAAUACAGAUCCAUCUUUUGUAUUAGGGUGAACUCGAAUAUUCGACGAAAAGAUAAUGUUAUUGGUCAGUGUUGACUUUUGAUAUAAAAUAAUGAAUUUGAGAAAAAUAACAUCCAUCUUUCGUAAUGGGAUAGACCUCAAAUAUCCGACGGAAAGAUAUUGUUAUUGACCUAGUGACAGCCUUUGAUAAGCCCACCUUUGUAGUGAGAUGGCCUUAAAUAUUUAGACAAAGAGAUAAUUUCAUUGGCCAAUUAUCGGCCAAUAGUAUAGUAUUUGUUCGAUAACAAUGUAGUGAAUAACAAAGCUAUAAAAAUAAAGGAAAUGUCCAAAACAAUCCAAAAUUAAGUAAGCAGUAAAGCAGAAGUAUUUUCAAAGUAAACUUUUGAAUAAAAACAAUCCUAAACUAAUGGAGCAGUCCGUAACACCAUAUAACAACAACAUAUUAAUGACAGAGAAAGCCAAACAAUUGUAGCAACAAAUUUAAUAUUAACAGUAAGCAAGGCAGCCAGCAAAACCAACCAAACAAAAUUAAAGUCAAAAUAUUUAUUGGAAGAAACUAAGAUCUCGCUGGAACAUUACCGAAUAGUAUGUAUUUUUCAGUCAAGUUCGAUCAACUACAGUCAGAUCUGAAAAAAAGAACAAAAUUAUACAGUAACAAACAUUAUAAAAUAUCAUUAACCGUCAAACGAAAAGAGAACGACGGAGUAAUGCAUUUUCCGGCCAAGUUCGCCGGAGGGAGGGAGAUAGACGAAUAAUGACGGCAGUGGUGGUGUUGCCGACCGGAGCUGCGUUAUGAAGAUAAAAAAAAAGGUGAAGAGGGGCGGUGGUUGGUUCGGUGAGAUGGUGAAGAAGCAGCGGCGGUGGCAGCUCCGCCGGCUGCUGCUGUCAUUGGCUGCUGUUGUUGCUCUAGUGGUGAGGAGCUCACCAGCGUGGGCUGGUCGCUGGUUCUUCGGCGGUGAUGGUGUGGUCUCCGGUGAGGUGAAUUCACCGUAAUUCGACCUUUGCUCACCGGAGAAAGAAAAAGCGGCUGGUUUUUUGUGGGUUUAAAGAGAGUGUGUGUUUAAAGAGAUGAAGAAAGAGAGAUAAAGUAGAGUGUCGGUUAUGCGUGUGUUUUUGUGUGAAUAGUGUGUGUAAUUGUGAGGUGUGUAAUGUGUGAUAUUUUAAAAAGUAAAAAUAAUUAAAAAAUAAUAUUUAUUUCUCAUUUUUUUUUUUAACAUAUCCCUUAAAUUAGGGAAAGUAGAUAAAAUAAAGUUAAAAUUUUUUAAAAGUGAGUAGACCUUGAUUUGACUGAUUUAUUAUUCUGUGUAUUAAAAUAAUUAAAUUGAUUUACUUUUGCAGGUCGUAUUAAAUAACAUACAAAAUAAUGAAUGCCGAUAUAUAAU
rnacentral:lncRNA from 1 species